AGAGUUUGAUCCUGGCUCAGGACGAACGCUGGCGGCGCGCCUAACACAUGCAAGUCGAACGAGCGAGAGGAGGUUUACUUUCUCAAGCGAGUGGCGAACGGGUGAGUAACGCGUGAGGAACCUGCCUCAAAGAGGGGGACAACAGUUGGAAACGACUGCUAAUACCGCAUAAGCCCACGACCCGGCAUCGGGUAGAGGGAAAAGGAGCAAUCCGCUUUGAGAUGGCCUCGCGUCCGAUUAGCUAGUUGGUGAGGUAAUGGCCCACCAAGGCGACGAUCGGUAGCCGGACUGAGAGGUUGAACGGCCACAUUGGGACUGAGACACGGCCCAGACUCCUACGGGAGGCAGCAGUGGGGAAUAUUGCACAAUGGGGGAAACCCUGAUGCAGCGACGCCGCGUGGAGGAAGAAGGUCUUCGGAUUGUAAACUCCUGUUGUUGAGGAAGAUAAUGACGGUACUCAACAAGGAAGUGACGGCUAACUACGUGCCAGCAGCCGCGGUAAAACGUAGGUCACAAGCGUUGUCCGGAAUUACUGGGUGUAAAGGGAGCGCAGGCGGGAAGACAAGUUGGAAGUGAAAUCCAUGGGCUCAACCCAUGAACUGCUUUCAAAACUGUUUUUCUUGAGUAGUGCAGAGGUAGGCGGAAUUCCCGGUGUAGCGGUGGAAUGCGUAGAUAUCGGGAGGAACACCAGUGGCGAAGGCGGCCUACUGGGCACCAACUGACGCUGAGGCUCGAAAGUGUGGGUAGCAAACAGGAUUAGAUACCCUGGUAGUCCACACUGUAAA
rnacentral:rRNA from 1 species